AUUAGAAGGGGCACUCCGUCCCCCUCAAGUCGAGCACUGGUUAUCAGCCCGCAUAGGGUCUGCCAACCCCAACCGUAAUGAAUGUAAUGACGAAGUAAGGAAUGAAAAAAUAGUUUUUCAAAACGCUCGUAGCGAGUUAGCACUCGCAUAGGUAACGGAUUAUUUGAUCUAAUCCGAUAGUUAUUACUUGUCGGGUACUAACGUAAGUUGUGACGCAGCUACUCGUCACCGAAAGACAUAAUUUCGUCUAAGUUAUUUGUAAGCAAUUUAUAUAGUAUUUGAAAAAAAACACCUUGCACUUAGUGUAUGUGUCGCGCCCGAUGCACAUUAUUCGGAAAGUAACGCGUAACUAGGAUUUUGUCAUUAUCCAACCUGUAUACCACAACAUACGUAUUAUCGUAGCAUGCGUUCAUCGACGUACCGUAAAUCGUAUACCCUUCGGUCGUAAAACCGAUAAUUCGGGUAAACGACAUAAGGGGUACUCUGCACUCUGCAGAAAAACAAUAUCCACUCGCAAAACGAACGCGAAAUUAAUUGCUCUACGUGGUACUAUCCUUUAUUUGACAAAAGUUCGGCACGAUGAAAAAAUAAUGGUAAAAUGAUAUUGCCGUCCAAAUGUGUUUGGAUGUUCUCCGAGGUGAUUCUCUUUGUAAUGUUCUCGUCGUAUAAGGAGACCUAAGGGUAUUUUUGUAUUCGACCGAAUUCAAACCAAGUAUUUUAUAUCGUUUGAUCGGCUCUCGUUUAAUAUCAUGAAAUUAAAUCGAACAGCAAAUACUCUACACGAAACGAAUGUAACAUUUAUUUUUCAUGAAUCAUUACGCGUUAUCGGAGACGUCUAAUCUUAAUACAACCCAAAGUUCAUUCUUAAUAUUUACCGAUUGUACACGGACCCCGUGAACUUCAUUCCCAUUGCAAUACCGUUAUUGAUUCCGACUGUAUAUUCUAUAGGUUGUUUAAUACUGUAUGGUUUUAGUGAUUAGCUCGUUUGAAAAUAAUAAACGUAUAGUUUCGUUUUUCGUAUACUCAUAUACAUUUAUAUGUGUGUCGGUUUAAAUGUUGUCCAUACCAUUUUUGAAACAGAAUCAGUGUUUUAAAAUUUUCUUGGAAAAUAUUUUGUUGUGUGCGACGUCAGUAGGUAAGCGAACCACGCCAACGCUAGGACGAAAUAAGUGAGAUGAACUUAAGUGGGUUUACGUUUACCGUGUCUUUAUUUUAUUUUCAAUUAGCCAACGUUUGGACAGACGAGAGAAUAAUUUCUACAAAUUCAACUCUAGAAAAUAUAUAUUUCAAAAUAUUUAAAACUAGCCGUGAUUUAAUUGGCAAUACUAUAACAGAACCAAUAUUAGAAGAAAAUAAAAAAGUAAUGAUAGGUAAUAGUUUGAACGAUAGUAAAAAAAAUGUUCGCUAUUACGAGAGUUUGUCUACCCGCGAAAAAGAAAUUUUUGAGUCAAAAAUAGGCGUAUUACUCGAAAUGUAUUCGAAAUUGAAAGACUUAAUGUUUCACGACGUAAGGAGUUUUUUCAACUUUCUGCGUGGCAAAUGGUCAUACUACUCUUUAGAUAGAUUGCUCAGAGUAAACAUAGACACGUUCAGAGACGCAAAAUAUAAAAUCUUUGAUGUUGUUCAACAAACUAACUCUUAAUUCAUGAACUGGAGAAGGAACAAUUAAACGUGAUAUAAAUGCAGUACGACACGAAUAAAUAAUUGGUAUUAUACCGGAUUAAAAAAAAAAAAUACUAACAUUUCAUUAUUAUUAUAAACUCAGGGUAUAAAAAUCUGGCAAUUAGUAUUUACAUUCAUCCAUCAGUUAAUUAAUGUUUGUAAGUUAACAAUUUUCUUAUAGUAUAUCACCAUUAAUCAAGCUAAAAGUGGAUUGUUUUUUUCAGUAAUUUUACCAUUAUUUAUGUAUGAAUAUAAAUAUUUUUUCGACCGUUUUUCAAUAAAUCUUUUCUUUUUUCGAAGCUUCAGUUGACAACAAAAUUAUCAUUGUUGAAUUACUAAUACUACAACACAGUUUGACUACGAAUACGGUAUUUAAGCGUAAUGUUUCUGUGAUUUGCCCGAUGGUGUGUGUGCUUUGGAACAGCUGUGGUAAAUACAACGGAACCGACUUCUGCGAUAUUACUUUCUGGGCGUGAGAAAGACGGCGUCAGGAGGAGAAGCAGGAGGGAGAAGAAAAACCACGCGUGUUUCGUAUGAUAGUACUAUAGAAGGAAAAAUGACUGAUUAAUGUGCGCUAUUUGGCGGUUAUCUCGGGGGUUCCACUUUGAAAAAGAGCUGAUCUGUUUAAGAUUUCCAAAGCUUACGGAAAUAUACAUAUAAGCCCUGUGAACUUUAUUCUAUUAAAUGAUAACGGUGGUAGACGGACGAAAUGUUUUCCGAACUCUUUUUCGACAAAAGACCUUUUGUCGAUCUUUUGAGCGGGGUGCGCCCGAUUACGGAACUAAAAAGCAGCAGCAGCAGAAGCAGUGCCGAUGUAGGCUUGUCGCUGGGCGAAUAUCGUCAUUUCUUCGGACGAAACCCCCAGAGGCCCGUGCACCACCACCGCAGAACCGCAUCAAAGCGACGGAGACAUGGAAAUUAAUUUUCAAAAUUCAAAAAGUUUCCAUAGAGACCCGGCGAUUUGUUAGAGCUGCAGGAUUUUAAUUGUUGAGGGACAAAAACACGCGGAUCGAAAAUGUCUUUCCGUAGUGAAUUCCCCUCGAGAUCAAGAAAUAACCGGUGAGAAACCACAUCAGUCAACCGUGCACAAGACUUUGCGUAUACGAAUUCUACUAUAAAUCCACUUAAAUGUUUGAAUUCAAAAAUAGACGUAUACGCGCGCACUGGCAAUCAUAUAUACAAAUACACACACACACACACACACAUACACAUACGUUACAUUAACAUAAAUCGAUAUAAGACCGUUCAGUCGUACACAAUAUCAACUCAACAACUGUCGUCUGUAUAUAUGUUUUAAAGAUAUUCACGAAAUGCUCUUUUCACCAUCGUGAAUAAUACGACGACAAAUUCGAUGGUGCGAAAGGAAAAACACUCUCUGCCCCGGCACAUCCAUUAUUGCCUAUGUUCAUUGAAAAUCCGGAAUUUAAAAUAAAUCAACAUAUUAUAUAUGUAUAAUAUAUGUAUAUAUAUAUAUAUAUAUAUUACACCCGUGGUGGGUAUAAUAUUGAAUAAAUGGAUUAUCCUUUACAUUUUUUACUAAGCGCGGAAGACACGUACCUAUCUGCAUACUAUAUUAUCAUACACUAAUAUUCUAUACUCCGAAAGCGAAUGGGGGGAGGGAGGCAAUACCUAUAACGUAUUUUUAUUAUGUUAAUAUUUUAUUGAAAUAAGUGAUACGCAAUUCGGAGCAACAAUGUUGUCGAACCGACACGAAAUGAAAUUUUUGUUUUCAAUUCGUAUUUAAUAUGAAUAAAAUAAAGUGUCGAGCACAAAAUUAAUAUUUUAAAAAUUAUAAAUUCAUGCUGAAUUUAACAUAAUUCAUAACUAAUUUUGAAUUUUCCUUCUUAUGUUUUCUAAGGAAAUCGAAAAACGAUAGUUUUAAAGAUUUUUUUCGAUUCGAUUUCGGUCCAAUAAGAUAUCUGAUACUCAUAAGACUUUUAGUACAGUGUUACUUCCCAAUAUCUGAUUAGAGGCUAAAAAACGUAAUUGAAGAAUAAUAAGUACUUCAAAUUCAACCAUUAUUCAUGAUGAUUGAUGAAACGAAAAAAAAUAAUAACUUUAAAUUAGCAUUUGUAUGAAUAUAUUGGUAAUGUUCUUCGAGAAAAUUAUUUAUUUAUACACAUCACAAAGAAAAAAUAGUUCAGCCACUUCAAUAUCCGAUUAAUUAUUGAUACUUAAGUAGUAACGAAACGAACAUACCUAUAACAAAUUUCUCACAAUCGACAUGUUUAAUAAAGUACAAAAAGUUUAAUUUUUUGAUAAAAAAAUUACCUUUUUUUUUUCUACGAUAAACUUUAUAUGCUUUCAUCGUUUUCAUAAGGCCUUACCCGUGCAGCACGAAACAAUACCGAAUCGAAACGGAAGUUUAUUCGGUACACAUUAAUAACAUUCGAAACAGUAUUGUUUUAUGUGUAAAUAAUACGAUACAACUCACACGCACAUACGAUGUAUAUUGGUAGGUUUACUUGAAUUGUACUGUGGACUAUAAAAUCUUCCUUAGUUAAACAAAUACAAUAUAAACACCGAAUUUUAUUUGCAAAACGAGCGUGUAGAUAAAACAACGGUCCAAUAAAAUAUAAGAUUUUUGUAAACGCAGUAUGAUAAUAAACAAUAAUGUUAUAAAUUUACGGGUUCUCGUUUUGCAUACUUAAGCGACUGGGUGCAUUAAAAACUCGAAAUUAUUUUUACGCAACGCACGUAUGUUUAAGUUAUUUUUCAAUUAUUUCAAUUACACUACUGUUUACUGUAUGGACGAAAUAAUAUAUUUUUCAAAUUCACGGUCAACUUUCAAUCCAAUCCAAUAGUUUAUCCGCAUGAGAAACCGUUUAAACCGCUAUUAAAAAUCGCACAAUAUUUCUACACGAGAUUUAAAUUUUCUGUCUAAUGUCUAAGAGAUAUCGUGUGUGCUUUAAUUGAAUUAUUUGAACAAUACUUGGUACAAAACUUACAUUAUAAUAAAGUUUGUUCUGUAUAACCGUAUUGGUGGUUAUCACUAUUAAGUUUAGUUAAACACGGAUCACUCUAAGUUCUGAGUUUAAUUUAUACAUUAACAAUUUUAAUAUUGUUUAUCUAUUUUUAUUAUAGUAGGUACUGUAUAUUAUAUUAGCCUUCUUUAUUAGCUUGUGGUAUUUGGUCUAAAUCAUAGUUCAUACGUAUCGGUGGUAGUUGGGAGUGCAGGUGAGCUUGUGCAACGAUUUCAUAUAUGAAUGAAAAACUGUCAUCAGAUGGUACACAAUAUUUUAUGGAUGGGAUUCGGUAUCAGCACAUGUUAGCUGAGGUGAAUGUUCUAACCACGCUAUUAGUCGGUGCCUUGUUUUGUUCAGGACCACGAAGCCGCAAGAUUUCCGAGAAGAAAAUUAUUAAUAUGACAUAUUUAUAUAAUUAAAAUGCUAUUUAAAUAACUAUCGUAUUUUGUACAAUUGGCGUGAGUGAUCUAUUUGGUAUAAACUAAACGUCUAUCGAUGACAUCUCAAGUAAUCAAAUAAAAUACUUCAAAGUAUAAUAUUUAUGUUGCUGUAUUGAUUCAUAUAAAUUUGAAAUAAUGUACAAUAACAAGUUCUAUAGUUA
rnacentral:lncRNA from 1 species